UACGUAGGGUGCGAGCGUUGUCCGGAAUUAUUGGGCGUAAAGAGCUCGUAGGCGGUUUGUUGCGUCGGCCGUGAAAACUCAGGGCUUAACUCUGAGCCUGCGGUCGAUACGGGCAGACUUGAGUUCGGUAGGGGAGACUGGAAUUCCUGGUGUAGCGGUGAAAUGCGCAGAUAUCAGGAGGAACACCGGUGGCGAAGGCGGUUCUCUGGGCAUUACCUGACGCUGAGGAGCGAAAGUGUGGGGAGCGAACAGG
rnacentral:rRNA from 1 species